rnacentral:rRNA from 1 species
UCCAGACUCCUACGGGAGGCAGCAGUGGGGGAUAUUGCACAAUGGGGGGAACCCUGAUGCAGCGACGCCGCGUGGGUGAAGGAGCGUUUCGGCGCGUAAAGCCCUAUCGGCAGGGAAGAAGGAGGACGGUACCUGACUAAGAAGCCCCGGCUAACUACGUGCCAGCAGCCGCGGUAAUACGCAGGGGGCAAGCGUUAUCCGGAUUUACUGGGUGUAAAGGGGGCGCAGACGGCAGCGCAAGCCAGGAGUGAAAGCCCGGGGCCCAACCCCGGGACUGCUCUUGGAACUGCGCGGCUGGAGUGCAGGAGGGGCAGGCGGAAUUCCUGGUGUAGCGGUGAAAUGCGUAGAUAUCAGGAGGAACACCGGUGGCGAAGGCGGCCUGCUGGACUGCGACUGACGUUGAGGCCCGAAAGCGUGGGGAGCAAACAGGAUUAGAUACCCGAGUAA